GAAUCUUCCGCAAUGGGCGAAAGCCUGACGGAGCAACGCCGCGUGAACGAAGAAGGCCUUCGGGUCGUAAAGUUCUGUCCUCAGGGAAGAACCCUCAUGGGAGGAAAUGCCCAUGAGCUGACGGUACCUGGGAAGGAAGCCCUGGCUAACUACGUGCCAGCAGCCGCGGUAAUACGUAGAGGGCAAGCGUUGUCCGGAAUGACUGGGCGUAAAGGGUACGCAGGCGGAUAAGUAAGUCAAAUGUGAAAGGCACCGGCUCAACCGGUGAGCUGCAUUUGAAACUGCCUAUCUUGAGUUCAGGAGAGGAGAGCGGAAUUCCUGGUGUAGCGGUGGAAUGCGUAGAUAUCAGGAAGAACACCAGUGGCGAAGGCGGCUCUCUGGCCUGAAACUGACGCUCAUGUACGAAAGCUGGGGGAGCGAACG
rnacentral:rRNA from 1 species